UUACAAAAACAUGUUCUUUUGUUUAUAUAUAAGAUUUGACCUGCCCUAUGAUUAUUAAAUGGCUGCAGUAUUUUGACUGUACAAAGGUAGCAUAAUCAUUUGUCUUUUAAUUAAGGUCUGGAAUGAAUGGUUGGAUGAGAAAUAUACUUUUUUUAUUUUAUACGAAAAAGUUAAUUUUUGAGUUAAAAAGCUUAAAUAUAUUUAUAGGACGAGAAGACCCUAUAGAAUUUUAUUCAUUAAGCAUAUAUGUUUUUAUAGUUUGUUAUAAAUAUAUAUGUUAUGUGAAUUUUGUUGGGGUGACAAAAAAAAUUUUAUAACUUUUUUUAUUUUUUACAUUAUUUUAUGUAUACUUGAUCCUUUUUUUGGAAAAAAGAUUAAAUUACCUUAGGGAUAACAGCGUUAUUAUUUCAGAGAGUUCAUAUUGAUGAAAUAGUUUGCGACCUCGAUGUUGGAUUAAAAUAAAAUAUAGGGGUAGAAUAUUAUGUUUUUGGUCUGUUCGACCAAUAAGUUUUUACAUGAUCUGAGUUU
rnacentral:rRNA from 1 species